UACGAAGGGUGCAAGCGUUACUCGGAAUUACUGGGCGUAAAGCGUGCGUAGGUGGUCUGUUAAGUCUGAUGUGAAAGCCCUGGGCUCAACCUGGGAAUUGCAUUGGAUACUGGCAGGCUAGAGUGCGGUAGAGGGUAGUGGAAUCCCCGGUGUAGCAGUGAAAUGCGUAGAGAUCGGGAGGAACACCAGUGGCGAAGGCGACUACCUGGACCAGCACUGACACUGAGGCACGAAAGCGUGGGGAGCAAACAGG
rnacentral:rRNA from 1 species